UUUAAUAUGGCAGAAUAGUGCAUUGAAUUUAAGAUUCAAAUAUAAAGUUUAAAAUUUACUUUUAUUAAAA
rnacentral:tRNA from 1 species